AUUGAACGCUGGCGGCAUGCCUUACACAUGCAAGCCGAACGGUAACAGGUCUUCGGAUGCUGACGAGUGGCGAACGGGUGAGUAAUACAUCGGAACGUGCCCGAUCGUGGGGGAUAACGAAGCGAAAGCUUUGCUAAUACCGCAUACGAUCUACGGAUGAAAGCAGGGGACCGCAAGGCCUUGCGCGAACGGAGCGGCCGAUGGCAGAUUAGGUAGUUGGUGGGAUAAAAGCUUACCAAGCCGACGAUCUGUAGCUGGUCUGAGAGGACGACCAGCCAAACUGGGACUGAGACACGGCCCAGACUCCUACGGGAGGCAGCAGUGGGGAAUUUUGGACAAUGGGCGAAAGCCUGAUCCAGCCAUGCCGCGUGCAGGAUGAAGGCCUUCGGGUUGUAAACUGCUUUUGUACGGAACGAAAAGACUCUGGUUAAUACCUGGGGUCCAUGACGGUACCGUAAGAAUAAGCACCGGUUAACUACGUGCCAGCCGCCGCGGUAAUAC
rnacentral:rRNA from 1 species